ensembl:lncRNA
GAAGUGGUUGGCACUGGGGAUACUGGGGAACACAGAUCAGAACAUGGGAGUAUUUGGGGAGGAUAAGGGGAUGUGGACCACAGCCUACAGGAGCAGAGUGCUUCUCAGGAGGAGGCAAGGUGUGAGUUACAGAUGGGACUUGUGGGUGCGGGGACGUGGGGUGGCAUGGGUACGUGGGGCGUUUGGGGGCUCGUGGGGAGCGGUUUGGGGUCAGAAUGGAGGAUGUGGGGUGGUGUUGGCGUGCAUUCAUUGAUUUCUUCCUGAGAGGGGAUUGGGGUUCCCUGUGGCCCAAAGGUGGAGCCCUCAUCGGUAACCGCACAUGAGCCCAGAACCCCAUACAACUCCGCGUGACCCCAAGGCUCCACAUGUCCCAUAACCCUGUGAGCACUGUAAGCCCAUAUGAGGCUGUGGGCAGGGAUGGGUCUGUUCCUGGCUUGUUCAGGGGGUACUAUAAG